rnacentral:rRNA from 1 species
GAUCCUGGGCUCAGGAUGAACGCUAGCUACAGGCUUAACACAUGCAAGUCGAGGGGAAACGACAUCGAAAGCUUGCUUUUGAUGGGCGUCGACCGGCGCACGGGUGAGUAACGCGUAUCCAACCUGCCCAUCACUUGGGAAUAACCUUGCGAAAGUAAGACUAAUGCCCAAUGAUAUCCCACGAAGGCAUCCGAAUGGGAUUAAAGAUUUAUCGGUGAUGGAUGGGGAUGCGU